rnacentral:lncRNA from 12 species
GAUCUGGACUGACGCCAGCAAGGUGGUUGCUGAAAUCUCUGAGGAGGGGACCAAAUUCCCUUACAAGAAGAUCAAACCUUUGGAAAUGCUGACUCUGACAUGCCUGGCUCAUCUUGUACUGUAAAGAAAAUGAGACGCAUAAAUAACCGAGGUGUUACAGAGACAUACUUUGAGGGACAGCAUCUGAGUCUGUCGGACCUAAAAGAAUGGGAUUUAGAGCACAGAUACCUGUAUAAGGACAACAUCCCUGCUUAUCCUGAAUCUGUGGAGUUCUGCGUACAGAAAGUGUCUCAUGUCACUGGAGAAAGUGGUCUUAGGGCUAUUUUUCUCGAUUCAGGGUUCAGACAGCCACCAGAGCUGGUGGCUAAUGGUCAGCCUCAUUUCCUCUGGUGGGAUUUAGCAGUCACGUCUGAAGACAUAUCCUCAGCUGAGGAGCGUUUCCUCACGUCCUUAUUCCCUCAUCGAAGUUCUGCCCAAAUUCGCAACCAGCCACCCGUCCUUGAGCACUUUACCACUUCAAAGGCCUUCCAGGAAAAAUCUUCCUAUGGAAACUUCCGCUUCAUCUUUUCACUUAAAGAGCUACUUUGGCUUUAUGGUGAGCAGUUCUGUGGUGACCAAAGUCCAGUUCUGCGUGUGUAUGAGACUGUGCUCUACCGGCGAGAGAUUCUCUAUAAGGUUUUAGUGCAUCCUCGUGACGUAAAUCUUUAUGACAGUUAUCCUCGACUGCCCAGUCGGGAGGAUGCGGUGUGUGGGUACCAUGAUGGGGCUUUGUGGUGGCGCAGUCAAGCCCCCUCUGAAACCUACAAGCUGAAGCUUAAGGUGAACAAGUUGAAUUGUAGCGUUCAUGUGAGCCCCCACAAAGAAGAAUACUAUGUGUGGGAUCAUGUGUGUGUAGCUUUCCACAUGGAGCCGGGGUGGGUGUUACGUGUGGACCGGAACAGGCUGUUUAAAAGGGCGAAUGCAUGUGAAGUGUCUCAGCCGUGUCUUCUGAGACCUCCGGAGACUCCACUGAGUUUAAACGAGGCUGAGUGUAUACUAGCUGAUCUUAAGGCCGAAAUGUGCUAG